UGAUGAGUGUGAUUGAGGCUAGCUUGAUGCUAACGUAGCCGGCUGUCAUCGAGUUGACGGUACUAGUCAGGCGGUAUUUCAAUAUAAUAAACAACAGUAUUCGUUCGUUCUAGAACCAUAUAAACGGAUGCUCUUCAUCAUAUUUGUUGCCACAUUCCUGUGUAUCCUGUCGGUGAGUUUGGACCUGUUUAUUCCAAUCUUCCCACCCUCCUCGAAUGCCCGGCUUGUUCCAUCAGCUGUUGCUGGUUUUGCCGACUGGACAUCUUGUUCAGAACCGAACAAGUUAAGACAUCUCAUUGAACUAAAUCAUUGGCAAGAGGCUGGUAAGCAGUGAAUGCAGCUGGUGCCCAGCUGCAGGCACCCCGCUCGAUGGUCUCUCCCACCAUUAAGGCAGUCGUGGAUGCUGUGUGGGCGGUUUGGAGCAUCGGGGCCUCCAUCUAUGACUACAUCCACACCGCCGCCAUGGAGGAGCGCAUACACUACCUGGAGAAGGUGGCCACCAUCCACCAGUGUGCCAUCGGGAUGCUCUCUGCGGCCAUCUUGGUGCUCUUCACCUACAUCUUCCUAAAGAAGCUUUGAGGGAUGGACUGGAUUCUAACUUUGUGGUAAACAGCAACAAUAGUACAGUUUUUUGGGAACAAACAUGCUGCAGGGUUGAUAUAACAGUGCCAUACAGUCCAUGUGAAUCUGAUAUCUUAUUUUCAUUUAAUUAAUAUUCAUUGAAUUCACUACUGCUUUAGCUUCAUGAAGACACACUGGAAUGUAGACACCAAGCUUGCUACUAAAAUUAAUUUUAAAUGACUCCUCAGGGUAUCUUAUUCAAUACAUGAAAUGCAUAACAUCACACCUAGAUACACACAGGCCACAACAUUACGUACACCUGCAUUCAAAAAUAUAACGCCCAAUUUUUGUUCAUUUAACAAUGUUUAUUACUGUGGUUGUAGUUUUCCGUAAUGUGGAGCUGUACACAUUUUUUGACCUGCCACUUGAAACUAAAUAGAAGUACUGUACAACCACAAUAAUAAACAAUUCAGCAAUGUCAAAACUGAGCAUUCUUAUCUUUGAAAAAGCAAAAUUAUUGAUGCCGGUCAGGCAGUUUCAGUGCUUUCCCACAUACAGUACUUAAUUUAAUUUUUGAAUUUUUUUAAAAAGCCAAUUCCAUUAUUUUAAAAGGGAUCAAUAUUGAAAAUUAAUGGGUGCUAUGUCCUUUUAAUGCUCCUGUAUAUCUGUACUAAUUUAUUUAAAGCAUUUAGAGUCUGAAAAUGUUAUUCAGUCCUUUGACCACUACAAUAUUACUGUAACAACGUGUAUGUGUGUUAGUUACAUAAGACUUCAAUGCACUUAAGAUGCUCUGUUUACUUUCUACUAAAGCUGAAGGUGUGAAACAAAGUGACCUUCAAAUAUUGUUUCAUGCAUCCUUUUAACAAGAUACAGGAUAUUUUGUAAAUAUCCAGUCAUGUACUUUAAUAUUUUUAAAAGAGAAAGGAGUUACACAUUUGUUAUGUAACAUUAAAAGUUUAAAAAUAAGUUAAAGUGUGAUAGCUACUAAGAUCUAUUGUUUACAUACACCAUUUGGAAGAAUCGGAUUUCUUUUAUUUGAAUGAUAUCAAGUGUGUGUACGUAAUCAACAUGACAAAGUCCAUUGGUUAAGACUUUGUUGGAUUUCUAUAUGUUCUCAACGUCACUCUUUGAAAGCAAACUGCAACUCAACAUUUCUGGAAUUUUUCCCAAACAUGGACAUUAGAAAACAGUUCACAUGGUUUUUCCCCAGUAAAACAUGGUGAAACAAUCCAAGAAUGCCUGUGGAACCAGCCAACAUCUCAUGUGUUGCCUCAAGCUGACCAACUAUUGCUCAAUUGAACCUGCGUGGCUUCAGUGGACUCAGAGGUGUCCGGUCUGAAGGAGUGUGUAUUUGGAGGUGAAUCUUUCCACGCUCUCACCCUCCAGGAACUUCAUGGCUCUCCAGUGGAUCUUGCCACAGUUCUCCAGUUGGCCAAGGGGCCCCAUCUCCUCCUGGAUGUACUGUAGCCACAGAUCUUGAGCAGGAAAAGAAACAUUCAUCUUUUGAGCUGAUGAAGAUUGUAAAGAGCCUAAACUAGACUAUAAGGUCACCUUCUCCUCAACUUUCCACUUGUCCCAACACUUUUGUCUAUAUACUGGAGCAUCUUUGCAACUUUAUUCAACUAUGAGCUUUUAUACUUUUACUUUUUUAAUACUAUAACAUGAUGCUAAAAAUAAAUAGAACUAAUUGUACUAUUCCUGUGUGACUCCUUAUCUCACCUUCAUCUGAGGAGCCGAACUCCUGCAGGGCCCUCUCAUAGUAGUCCCUCAGGUAGUUGAUCCUUGGAGAUUCCUUCAUGUACAAUACAAUACUAUCACCAUCAACUCAGGCCUGACUGAUUAAUGUUGUGAUUUUGAUGCACUCACUUGUUCUUUCUCUAUCAGAAUCAUUCUGGUGAACCAAGGCUUGGAAAAAGGUCUGCUGUCCUGUAAACUAAAAGACAGAAAAAGGUCGCUGCUUCCCUGUGUAGCAUCUAAAAUUACAUGACUGAAUAUAUCUUUACUUUUCCUUACCUUGUAAAAGUCUUUCUAGCUUUCUUGUAGCCUCCAGUGGAGUACGACCAAUCAAGGUAUCGCUCUUUCAUCUCCAUGACAACAUCCGCCACUGCAGACAGCAGACCUCUCUGGUGGUAGAACAAACUGUCUGCUAAAGUGUACUCAGGCCAAAUCAUUGUGUACAUAUUAAUGGCACUUCUCUGUGGAUAGGCAUGAAUGGCACAACUGAGGUGGUUCAUUCUUUUUUUUUUUUUCUUUUUUUUUUUAAGGAUUACCUUAAAGAUGGCUUCUGUGUCCUCAGGGUUCUGGUUGGCUAUGCCCCACUGGACCUGCAGCUGCCAAAUUGGUAAGCUCUCCUGUUAGAAAAGGGGGACAGAGACAGGAGAGAACCACCUGAGCAAGCAUGUCAUUUAAGUCGCUCCAGGCAGAACAGCACGUAGAAGGUCCACAUGGGUUCUGCGGUGUGACAACACACAAAGGCCCGGCCUUUGGCGGUCAGAAGUUCCUCCCCUAUUCCCGAAGCCUCAAGUUCCCUCUUGGCCAAGAAAUCCCACGUGACGCUGUCAUCGAGGAAGUUGGUUUUCAGGCUGGAAAACAAGGCAGGGGGGGUUUCACGCGUGCCAUUAUGGGACAGGUGCCACCUUCCCACUCAGAAUCUCUGGAGGAAAUUCAUAUUCACCCUGGGAUGUUUUAAAAAGACUUCUCACAGUGCAACAACUCCAUGCGGAAGUACUGGAAGACAUUGACAACAUUGAGUAUUAACUUCCUGUCAUGCAAAUGUGGCGUUAUUCUUUUUCCUCACCUCCUGGUAGACCUUUUUGUUGCCUGGGUGGAAGCGUAGCGCUCUAAGAAACAAGUGACGGGCGUUCUCAGAGGACUUUCUAUCUUCCAGCUCAGUCUUAGCGGCCAUGAGCCACAGUGCUGGCGACAAGAGACAAACACAAUCCAAAAGAGUAAAGCAACAUGCGAGAGCCAAAGUUGCACAUCAUCCUGCAGGGAAGAGACAUUUGGGAUGCAUUAAUUGUUCUUUUUUUUUUUUUUUUUUUUUUUUUAGGUGAGAUUACAACUUUUGUCUUGCAAGAAAUCUGACUACUCUUAUGUCAUUGCAACUUUUUUUGUGUGUGCAAAAUUCUGUAUAAAUUCUAAUUACACUGAUUUUAUUCUCAUAGAAAUCUUACGAUUCUCAUGACUAUUCUCAAAAUUUAUUGUGGAAUUUAAUAUGGUAUAUUACAACUUUUUUUCUGACAAACUCUUAACUUGUUCUUGUAAAAAUCUUGAAUUAAUCUUGCAACGUUACAAUUUUUUUUCGUAAAAAUUGGACUAUUCUCAUAUCUUUGAAACUUUUGUGUGUAAAAUUUCCAAUUUUUUGUCAUUAUUACCACUAAGAAUAUGACUUUAUUUUCAUGCAAAUAUGGCCUAAAUCUCAUGGCAUGACAACUUUUUCUCUCAUUAAAUUCUAAUUUAUUCUAGUAACAUUACAACACUUUUAUUGUAAAAACAGGUCUAUUCUCAUAAUGCCUGUUCAUGUAAAAGUCUCACACAACUGACAAAAAAUCUAAUUUGAAUGUUGUAACUGUGAAACUUUGUUCUUAUAAAAAUAUUAUCGUCAUUACUUGUUUUCCCUGUAAAGUUCUUCUAAGAGUAUGGUUUUAUUCUCAUGAAAAUGUGACUUUUGUUUCCUAGCUUUACUACUGUUUUGCUCAAACUUUAAUAACAUUACAGCUUAAGCAACCUGUAACAUUGCAAUGUUUUUCUUGUAUAAAUACACCCACUACUUGGUUCUUGAAACAAUACUACUUUCUUGUCUUAAAAAUCUUGCAACAUUAGAACCGUUUUCCUCAUGUAAUUUAGAUAUGAUCUGAAUGUGAUUGUUUCCAUUUCUGGCCUUGUUAUAUAACCAAAUGAGUGGAUGUUAAUGAGGUUUUUGAUAAAAUACCUUCCACUUGUUUGUUGCCCUUCUGAAGACACUAUUGAUUCUGUGUACGAUGGCAAACUCAAUCUCUUCCUUCUUGUGCUUGUAGUGUAUGUGCUGCAAAGGAAAGGUGAAGAUGAGAAGCAGUACAAGGACACUGAUAAGUAAAGGUAGCAGCAGAUGUCACCUACCGCUCUCCUCUUUUUGACCAGCUCCAGGACAUUGAUUUCGUACUGUAAUUCAACAACAUGCACCAUAAAAUGAG